rnacentral:rRNA from 1 species
UCGUGGAGUGGUUUGUCUGGUCUAUUCCGAUAACGAGCGAGACCCCGAUGUCCUUAGUAGGGGUGGCAGCCCAGCUCGCCUCACGGCUUGCUAGCAGCUACCCAAGCAUAAGCUUCUUAGGCAAAUCAGAGCCGAUAAGGUUCUUGAAAUGGGUUAAUAACA